rnacentral:rRNA from 1 species
UACGAAGGGGGCUAGCGUUGUUCGGAUUUACUGGGCGUAAAGCGCACGUAGGCGGAUCGAUCAGUCAGGGGUGAAAUCCCAGAGCUCAACUCUGGAACUGCCUUUGAUACUGUCGAUCUGGAGUAUGGAAGAGGUGAGUGGAAUUCCGAGUGUAGAGGUGAAAUUCGUAGAUAUUCGGAGGAACACCAGUGGCGAAGGCGGCUCACUGGUCCAUUACUGACGCUGAUCCGCGAAAGCUAGGGAGCAAACGGG